rnacentral:rRNA from 1 species
CCUACGGGGGGCUGCAGUGGGGAAUAUUCCGCAAUGGACGAAAGUCUGACGGAGCAACGCCGCGUGAGUGAUGAAGGUUUUCGGACUGUAAAGCUCUGUUGUUUGGGACGAAAGUGCCUGUUGCGAACAGUUACGGGUAUUGACGGUACUAAACGAGGAAGCCACGGCUAACUACGUGCCAGCAGCCGCGGUAAUACGUAGGUGGCAAGCGUUGUCCGGAAUUAUUGGGCGUAAAGAGCAUGUAGGCGGGAAUCUAAGUCUGUUGUUAAAAUGCGGGGCUCAACCCCGUAUUGCGAUGGAAACUGGGUUUCUUGAGUGCAGGAGAGGAAAGGGGAAUUCCCAGUGUAGCGGUGAAAUGCGUAGAUAUUGGGAGGAACACCAGUGGCGAAGGCGCCUUUCUGGACUGUGUCUGACGCUGAGAUGCGAAAGCCAGGGUAGCGAACGGGCUUAGAUACCCCAGUAGUC